GGAACUGACAUUCUCUGACAAAUGCAGCAUUAUGGAUUCACUGUAGGAUGAAGCACAGAAAAUCUGAGACUGAGCCAAAACUCUUUUAAAAUAACUAAUUACCAGGAUUGUAGUGACAUUUCAAUGGGUAAUGCAUCCUACAGAACAAACACACAUACAGUGGAGAUAUUGACUUUAGUGUCCAAGUUAUGCUUGUGGAGCUGAGAGCAGAAUUCGGACAGUCAUUGUUCUUUGAAAAUAAGGCAUCACCCAUGUCCAAUUACUCAUGUGAAGUCAGGCCUACAGCAGGAUGGAGAAGGAAGAGAAUCAAGUGGCAUCAAAUAGUGGUCUAAAGGUUACUGCCAUAAGAAGAGGUUAACCCAAAUGAAUAAAGGCUCAUGAAAUGAAAUGUUACAAAAAGCCAAUCAGAAGUACAAAGAGCCAAUCCGAAAAACAGUACAGAAACAUGGAAUAUUAUAUUAGAAAAGGAAAGAAAUCCACUUCUAUCCUGCUAUGUCUGGACUUUAUUUUUUACGGCAUACUAUACAGACGGAGCAAUACAAGACUGAGUUGGACACGCUCCCAUUGGACCACUGCAUGUACUCUUUAGCCUUUUGGAAACCUUAUGAGUGAGAGUCUGUACAAUUUUAUCUACUCUCAGGUCUGAAAUGCACACACCCACACUGUUGAGCUUUAUGUAAA